rnacentral:misc_RNA from 1 species
UCCGGUUUAUCACCGGCAGUUUCCAUAGAGUGCCCGGCAUUACCCGCUGGUAACUAUGGAUGAGGGUUGCGCUCGUUGCGGGACUUAACCCAACAUCUCACGACACGAGCUGACGACAGCCAUGCAACACCUGUCACCUCUCCAACUAAAUGAGGGCCUAAUUUCUUAGGCCUGCGAGAGGGAUGUCAAAGGAUGGUAAGGUUUUUCGCGUUGCAUCGAAUUAAACCACAUGCUCCACCGCUUGUGCGGGUCCCCGUCAAUUCCUUUGAGUUUUAAUCUUGCGACCGUACUCCCCAGGCGGGAUGUUUAACGCGUUAGCUCCGAUACCGAGUCGUAAGACCCGACAUCUAACAUCCAUCGUUUAGGGCGUGGACUAC